GGCCAGCAGUGGGACGAGACCGGCUGUGCUCGAGCAUCUGCGCGCGCCGUCAUGGUGUCUGCCGUAAGCUCACUUUGGCAUCUUCGAAGUUGGGAUUAAGUUCUAUGGCCCUUCUGAAGUCGCUCUGGGCCUCUUGGAAAAAACCUGCAACAAAGCACUGACCUGCAGACACUCGGCCCACCAUGGAACCGG